AUUGAACGCUGGCGGCGUGUCUAAUACAUGCAAGUCGAACGCAGUGGGGACGGGUGAGUAACACGUGGGUACCCUCCCCUCAGAGGGGAUAACACUUGGAAACAGGUGCUAAACCGAUACAGAUGGAUGGACGCGCGGUGCAUUAGCUAGUGGGGGAGGUAACGGACCACCAAGGACAAGAUGCCUAGCCGAUAUGAGAGGGUGGUCGUCCACACUGGGACUGAGACACGGCCCAGACUCCUUGGGUAGGCAGCAGUAGGGAAGCUUCGGCAAUGGACGAAAGUCUGACCGAGCAACGCCGCGUGAGUGAAGAAGGUUUUCGGAUCGUAAAACUCUGUAGUUAGAGAAGCGGUAUCUAACCAGAAAGCCACGGCUAACUACGUGCCAGCAGCCGCGGUAAUAC
rnacentral:rRNA from 1 species